ensembl:lncRNA
CGGGCCAGCUCCGCCCUGCAGCGUGUGUUCCAGACUGCCCUUCACGCAGAAUAAGCUCAAGUCCCAGUACUUCUUUGGAGAGCUUUGUGCAGGGGGUCAUGGUGGCCUGGACCACACAGCGCAGCCUCCUGGCUAGAAUCCCGAGGUCAAGACAAGAAGCCUGAUUCUCCCAUGGGGCUUCCCAGCUGGUGCAGUGGUAAAGAAUCCACCGUCAGUGCAGGAGAUGCAGAGACGCAAGAGACACGGGUUCCAUCUCUGGGUCAGGAAGUCGCCUGGAGUCGGAAAUGGCAACCUACUCCAGCAUUUUUGCCUGGAAAAUUCCAAGAACAGAGGAGCCUUGUGGGCUGCAGUCUGUGGGGUCACAAAGAGCUGGUUGCACACACACACCUGCACAUAAAGCCAUGACCUGGUUAACUUCGCAUUAAAAUUAAGCAACGCAACAAAAUGAUGAUAGUUUCAACUUUGAGAAAACAAGCUUACAUCUAAUGAAAAUUAUAAGCAGAAACUUUCCACAAUAAUCAUUUACUUCGAUUAUUUUGAAAGUUCUUGAAAAGAAAGGAAGAGGAAGAGGAGUGGUGUCUAACUGAGAAGCUGGACCUGUUCUUUUCACCGGAUGAUUGAAGAUCUGGGUGAUGCAUUCUCCGUUUUAAUGAAAGUCAUUUGCUAACACUUUUUUAAAAAAAAAUCUGCAAUCGCUAUUAAGAGUUGUAUCUCAACAGCGAAAAAAAUAAGUAAAAAGGACAACCAUGAACAACAUACCAAAAACAAAC